rnacentral:rRNA from 1 species
UACGUAGGGUGCGAGCGUUGUCCGGAAUUACUGGGCGUAAAGAGCUCGUAGGUGGUUUGUCGCGUUGUUCGUGAAAUCCCACGGCUUAACUGUGGGCGUGCGGGCGAUACGGGCAGACUGGAGUACUGCAGGGGAGACUGGAAUUCCUGGUGUAGCGGUGGAAUGCGCAGAUAUCAGGAGGAACACCGGUGGCGAAGGCGGGUCUCUGGACAGUUCCUGACGCUGAGGCACGAAGGCCAGGGGAGCAAACGGG